UUACCUACAAAUCUUGAUUGAACAAUUAAAGUCUUUUGAUGACAAGCUUCAAAACUACAAAGAAGAUGAACAGAGAAAGAAAAUGGAAACUCUCAAAGAAACAACAAAUAGCAUAGUAGAAUCAGCUAAACACUGCAUUGUGUUGCUGCACAUUGCUAAAGGGUAAUGCAGAAAAGCACGCAGAUGGAAUAAGUACUAUUAAUCCUGUAGAUGCAAUCUAUCAACCUAGUCCUUUGGAACCUGUGAUCAGCACGCCUUCCCAGAUUGUUACUUCCAGAACCUGUUCAGUUGUGUAAGUCAAAACAGCAGCAUCCAUCUUCCCUACCAGUUGGACCUGUGUUGGCUACCUUGGGACAGCAUAAGACUCUUACACCAAAUAGUACAGGCAGUGGCCAUUCACCACCGAAUAGCAGUCUAACUUCUCCAAGCCAUGUGAACUUGUCUCCAAAUACAGUCCCAGAGUUCUCUUACUCCGCUAGUGAAGAUGAAUUUUAUGAUGCCGAUGAAUUCCAUCAAACUGGCUUAUCCCCAAAGCACUGGAUAGAUUCUUCUGGAUCUGCCUCAGUCCUGAUACACAGGAGCUUGGGUGUUUCUU
rnacentral:lncRNA from 10 species